UACGAAGGGGGCUAGCGUUGCUCGGAAUCACUGGGCGUAAAGGGUGCGUAGGCGGGUCUUUAAGUCAGAGGUGAAAUCCUGGAGCUCAACUCCAGAACUGCCUUUGAUACUGAGGAUCUUGAGUUCGGGAGAGGUGAGUGGAACCGCGAGUGUAGAGGUGAAAUUCGUAGAUAUUCGCAAGAACACCAGUGGCGAAGGCGGCUCACUGGCCCGAUACUGACGCUGAGGCACGAAAGCGUGGGGAGCAAACAGG
rnacentral:rRNA from 1 species